rnacentral:tRNA from 1 species
UCCCCAGUGGCGCAACUGGUUAGCGCUUGGUACUUAUAAUGCCGAGGUUGUGAGUUCGAUCCUCACCUGGGGAA